rnacentral:rRNA from 1 species
AUGUCCGACGGAGAGGUACCGCCUCGCCAGGCCGCGGAGGACUUAGUCAGGGGAGUGGCGAACCGCGCCGCGCCGGGCUCGGCCGGCGAAGAGGACGAGGAGAUUUACGACGACGAGAGCUCCGAUUACAACUCGUACGACGACGACGACGACGAAUCCGAUGAGAGCGGUUCGUACUACGAAGACCAUGAGGAUGAGGAGGAGGAGGAGGAGGAGGGUGCCGGCGGGGACAGGGCCUCCGGGAGCGCGGAGGAGGAGGCUGCGUCGGUCGGCGUGGGCGGCGGCGGCCCGAAGGCGGAGGGGAGUCCCCGGGCGGCGGCCACCUGCUGCAUCUGCAUGGAUCCCUGGGCCUCCUACGGCGGCCACCUGCUGCAUCUUGUUUACUACCAUGGGACUUUCAUUUAUGUUGUCUCCGCCAAGGUUUUCGAGUCAACGAGUCAUUCUGGGUAG